ACGAACGCUGGCGGCGUGCCUAAUACAUGCAAGUCGAGCGGACGGAUGGGAGCUUGCUCCCAGACCGUCAGCGGCGGACGGGUGAGUAACACGUGGGCAACCUGCCUGUAAGACUGGGAUAACUCCGGGAAACCGGGGCUAAUACCGGAUAACUCUUUCCCUCACAUGAGGGAAAGCUGAAAGAUGGCAUCUCGCUAUCACUUACAGAUGGGCCCGCGGCGCAUUAGCUAGUUGGUGAGGUAACGGCUCACCAAGGCGACGAUACGUAGCCGACCUGAGAGGGUGAUCGGCCACACUGGGACUGAGACACAGCCCAGACUCCUACGGGAGGCAGCAGUAGGGAAUCUUCCGCAAUGGACGAAAGUCUGACGGAGCAACGCCGCGUGAGUGAUGAAGGUUUUCGGAUCGUAAAACUCUGUUGUCAGGGAAGAACAAGUACCGGAGUAACUGCCGGUACCUUGACGGUACCUGACCAGAAAGCCACGGCUAACUACGUG
rnacentral:rRNA from 1 species